rnacentral:rRNA from 1 species
GACGAACGCUGGCGGCGUGCUUAACACAUGCAAGUCGAACGGAAAGGCCCUGCUUUUGUGGGGUGCUCGAGUGGCGAACGGGUGAGUAACACGUGAGUAACCUGCCCUUGACUUUGGGAUAACUUCAGGAAACUGGGGCUAAUACCGGAUAGGAGCUCCUGCUGCCUGGUGGGGGUUGGAAAGUUUCGGCGGUUGGGGCUGGACUCGCGGCUUAUCAGCUUGUUGGUGGGGUAUUGGCUUACCAAGGCUUUGACGGGUAGCCGGCCUGAGAGGGUGACCGGCCACAUUGGGACUGAGAUACGGCCCAGACUCCUACGGGAGGCAGCAGGGGGGAAUAUUGCACAAUGGGCGGAAGCCUGAUGCAGAAACGCCGCGUGCGGGAUGACGGCCUUCGGGUUGUAAACCGCUUUCGCCUGUGACGAAGCGUGAGUGACGGUAAUGGGUAAAGAAGCACCGGCUAACUACGUG